rnacentral:lncRNA from 1 species
GAUGCUGGAUCACAGAAACACACUCCUGUGUCCAACAAGAAGCGAUAUCUGAAGGGCACUUUGCAACCCAGGUCACAGAAAGACAGUCAAGGAGGGGAUAAGGGAAAGAAUCAAGCCACCACUUGACCAGCCUGGGGAAGUGAUUUGACUGUGAGGCACGUGUGGUGAAAGUUUACAAUCAUGUCUCCAGCACAUAAGAAACUACCCUGUAAGAAGCUGGGAUACGCAAGAGUGGCAAAAACAGCCCUGUCAAUCAGUGCAGUCAUCUGGAAGGCCUGGAAAAAAAACACUCUAUUCACAAAGACGGGAGACUGCAAAUUUCCCUUCAAGCAAUGGUCAUUAAGUGAUCAGUAUGGGUGCUGGGACAUGGGGAACCUCACGAGGGAGAGUUUUAAAACAAAAUGAUUUUGAUGAUGAAAUAUUUGAAGCGCAACGUGUUUGUUUGUAUUUGUGUGUGUGCAUGAGGGACAUGUGCUUUUGCAAAUGAUCAUUUUCCAGUUAGCAGCAAGAAAGGCUGGAGGGCUGCUUUGAUGCCAGUCCUCUGGGCUGGUGGCUUCUGACAGAGUAAUGUUCAUUUGGACAAAACUCUUUUCCCUGUAAUUGCAGUUUAGCAGCCCAAAUGGUUGUUCUGGAGGAAGAUACCACCCCCCUUACUCACUGUUUGCCCAAAUCAAUUGUGCUCAUUCAUUCAAGAUAUGGAUUUUGUUUCAGCCCUCUGAUCCAAGCCCUCCAGGAGGGUGGGUAAAUCAACAUAGUUGAUGGUGUCCUGCUGCAUUCACUUAAUGCUGAUCCUGAAGAACACUCAGUCACUCUGCCCCAGCUCGGGGAGGCGGUUGUGCUUUUAUUUUGAGCCUUGCUUGGAAACCAAUCAUCCAGUUAUGUCUUACCAGGUGCAGGCAUGUUCAUCCUAUCAAUAAGGGAUGCAUUCUGCAUCCCCCUUUUUGCCAAUGCCUCUCCAACUAGCUGCAUAGAAAUCCAGAAAGAUCUACAGCUUCCACAAGACACUGCAACUCUCACCCUGGGACAAGGAGAAGGUGUUUUUCUCUCUCCCACAUCAAAACAGUAGAUUUAAAGGGUUUUUUGUUUGUUUUUGUUUUGUUUUGUUUUGUUUUUACUUUGGCUGCAAAAUCACCUCUUUGAGUGCUCUGACACUCAGAUUUUAAAACAAAGGUUAAAAAAAAAAAACAACAACGAUAUAAUUAUAUAACGAUAUAAAAAAAACGAUGUGUUUAAAGAGAGGCCAAGUUUUUGAAAGUAUGGGUUUGAGAUAGUUAUAGCUCAAUGGGGGACUUAUCCCCUGAGCUCUGCUAUCAUAUCUGCUCAUGGUUUCUGCUCAUAAAAGAACCCAAAAUGUCCCAAAAGAGAUACAGCUCUUUGACACACCAUGGCCUUUGAAACUUGGCAUCAUCUCCAUAAUUUAUUUUCCUGAGGUUUUCAUCUGAGUUUGCAUGUUUUUCUGGUAGUUAUUUGAUCACCUCCAUCAGGAUGACUCACAGCUGCUGACAGGUAUGUUAUUUUUUAACAACUGCAUUUUUCCAAAUGCCAAUCCUUUACAUCAGAGACCCCCAAAAAACUUAUUCUGGCAGGUAAAUAGGCAGCUGAUUGUCACCAUCAUACAAUUUAAACACAGAUACAUUACUUUUUAAUGGCAGUCUGGAUCGUGUUUUCCUAAACUCUAUUUUUCCUUGCAAGUUUCUGCUAACAUCUCUACAUUAGCAAUUCCUGAUAGCAGGGUUUUCUGAGAGCUGUAGGAAAUGGUUUCACACAGAAAGUUCAAAUGCAGUUACCAGACCUGAUGGGUUCACUAAGCAACUGAUCUACAAAUUUGGAAGUUAGUGGAUUUGAUGGAGUAUAUCAUGAAUGACUUGGUAAGGGUCAAUUAUGCUGUUUCCUCCAUUGCAAUGAUGAGAAGUCAUCAAAAGGCAGAAUCAGAAGAAACAAAAGCAGGUGGUUCUUCAUCUGAUGUGUAGUUAUGCUGUCUUAGGAUAUGACGGAUGCUGAAAGCUUAGGUGAGUUCAUGGAAUAAAUGGGUAGUUCCUGAAAGAGGAAUCCA